UAGUGAGUUUGAUCCUGGCUCAGAACGAACGCUGGCGGCAUGCCUAACACAUGCAAGUCGAAUGAGACCUCGGGUCUAGUGGCGCACGGGUGCGUAACGCGUGGGAAUCUGCCCUUGGGUUCGGAAUAACGAGUUAGAAAUGACUGCUAAUACCGGAUGAUGACUUCGGGUCCAAAGAUUUAUUGCCCAAGGAUGAGCUCGCGUCUGAUUAGCUAGUUGGAGAGGUAAGCUCACCAAGGCAUCGAUCAGUAGCUGGUCUGAGA
rnacentral:rRNA from 1 species